GAGUUUGAUCCUGGUUCAGAACGAACGCUGGCGGCAGGCUUAACACAUGCAAGUCGAGCGCCCCGCAAGGGGAGCGGCAGCACGGGUGAGUAACGCGUGGGAACGUACCCUUUGCUACGGAAUAACUCAGGGAAACUUGUGCUAAUACCGUAUGUGCCCUUCGGGGGAAAGAUUUAUCGGCAAAGGAUCGGCCCGCGUUGGAUUAGCUAGUUGGUGAGGUAAAGGCUCACCAAGGCGACGAUCCAUAGCUGGUCUGAGAGGAUGAUCAGCCACACUGGGACUGAGACACGGCCCAGACUCCUACGGGAGGCAGCAGUGGGGAAUAUUGGACAAUGGGCGCAAGCCUGAUCCAGCCAUGCCGCGUGAGUGAUGAAGGCCCUAGGGUUGUAAAGCUCUUUCACCGGUGAAGAUAAUGACGGUAACCGGAGAAGAAGCCCCGGCUAACUUCGUGCCAGCAGCCGCGGUAAUACGAAGGGGGCUAGCGUUGUUCGGAUUUACUGGGCGUAAAGCGCACGUAGGCGGACUUUUAAGUCAGGGGUGAAAUCCCGGGGCUCAACCCCGGAACUGCCUUUGAUGCUGGAAGUCUUGAGUAUGGUAGAGGUGAGUGGAAUUCCUAGUGUA
rnacentral:rRNA from 1 species